AACGAACGCUGGCGGCAGGCUUAACACAUGCAAUCGAACGCAUCGCAAGAUGAGUGGCAGACGGGUGAGUAACGCGUGGGAACAUACCCUUUUCUACGGAAUAGCUCUGGGAAACUGGAAUUAAUACCGUAUACGCCCUACGGGGGAAAGAUUUAUCGGGGAAGGAUUGGCCCGCGUUGGAUUAGCUAGUUGGUGGGGUAAAGGCCUACCAAGGCGACGAUCCAUAGCUGGACUGAGAGGAUGAUCAGCCACAUUGGGACUGAGACACGGCCCAAGCUCCUCCGGGAGGCAGCAGUGGGGAAUAUUGGACAAUGGGCGCAAGCCUGAUCCAGCCAUGCCGCGUGAGUGAUGAAGGCCUUAGGGUUGUAAAGCUCUUUCACCGAUGAAGAUAAUGACGGUAGUCGGAGAAGAAGCCCCGGCUAACUUCGUGCCAGCCGCCGCGGUAA
rnacentral:rRNA from 1 species